AACCUUAUGGACCUGCGGGCGUAUACCUGCGGAAGGAUCAUUACAAGUGACCCCGGUUUACCACCGGGAUGUUCAUAACCCUUUGUUGUCCGACUCUGUUGCCUCCGGGGCGACCCUGCCUUCGGGCGGGGGCUCCGGGUGGACACUUCAAACUCUUGCGUAACUUUGCAGUCUGAGUAAACUUAAUUAAUAAAUUAAAACUUUUAACAAUGGAUCU
rnacentral:misc_RNA from 1 species